UCUGUCUUUCUCUGUCCCUGUCCCUAUCUUUCCCUCUCUCCCCUUCUCUGUGUAUCACUCUGUCUAUGUCUCACUGUGUAUGUCUGCCUGUCUCCCCCACUCUCUCUGUGUAUCACUCUGUGUGUAUCUCUAUCUCCCCCCCCCCCCCUUUUUAUUUUUUCUUUCUGGAAAUCCGGGCUGGCUGAGGAACGAUUGCCAGCUGCAGGAGAGGCUUCCCUUCGGGUGACCCUCCUCUUCUCCCUCCUCCUCUCGCUGUGGUGGAGCCGGAAGGGUGCGCACACAUGGGGAGACCCUCCUCAGCAGCAAAGGAAUGCACGGACGCUUGCUUGAGGGUCUUGACAGGAAACUGCUUCUCUCCUGCACUAAGGCUCUGGUCAUCGCCUUGCCGUGCCCCCCCCCCCCCCAGCUCUUCUGCCGAGCAGAUGGCGCGAGCUCCAGCCGGAAGCCACUUUGCUCCUGCACUAAGGCUCCCGCAAUCCUUUAAGAUCCAGGCUGGCUGUGGAAUGAUUGCCAGCCACGGCAGAGGAUUCCCUCUUUGGCUCAGCCAAAGCGCAGCAAAGGAACAUUGUGGAUUGCGCCCUUCCCUCAAUCUUUUCUUCUCUUCUGAAUCCAUCCUGUGCCUGAAUCCAAGCCAACAUGCCUGACGCUCACCGUCAAGAAGGACGAUGUCCAGCAGAUGAACACAAGUUCUACCAGAUCAGUGAUAUGGCCAACAUGACUUUCUUGAAUGAAGCCAGCAUCCUGGAUAACCUCCGGCAGGGUUACAUUAUGAUGAGGAUCUACACAUAUUCUGGCCUCUUCUGUGUCAUCAACCCUUACAAGUGGCUACCCAUCUAUGGGGCACCUGUGACCCAGAUGCACAAGGGCAGGUAGCAUACAGAGGAGCCUCCUCACCUCUUCUCCAUCUCUGACAAUGCCUACCAUGACAUGCUUAUGGGUGGCAUCUACCCCCUACAAGAAUUUCUAGAAUGUUCAAGGAUAAAUCCGAAAAAUGUUGGAAGUGUCAUCAGACACCUGGAUCAUAUUACCACAUGUGGUGGACAUGCGUUGAAGCAAAAAGAUAUUGGACUAAAAUACACACGUGGUUGGAGAAAAUGAUAAAAAAAUAUUGACUUUAAGCCAGAAGUUUUUUUGUUGGGAAUUAUACCUGAAAUAUAUUAUAUUAGUAGACCAGAGGAAUGCUGUUGAUAUAAUUUAAUUGGACUUCAGUAAAGCAUUUGAUAAAGUAGACCAUAACCUACUACUAGAUAAAGUAGAAAAAUGUGGGUUAGACAGCACUACCACCAGAUGGAUUCAUAACUGGCUGACCAACCACACUCAACAUGUAGUCCUCAACGGAACUACAUCCACAUGGAGGGAAGUAUGCAGUGGAGUACCCCAAGGCUCUGUUUUAGGCCCAGUACUCUUCAACAUCUUCAUCAAUGACUUGGACGUGGGGAUAGAUGGGGAACUCAUCAAAUUUGCAGAUGACACCAAGCUGGCAGGAAUAGCCAAAACUCCAGAAGAUAGGCUCAAGUUACAGAAAGAUCUUGACAGACUUGAACAUUGGGCGCUAUCUAACAAAAUGAAAUUCAACAGUGAAAAAAGUAAGGUUCUACAUUUAGGCAAAAAAAACCAAAAUGUACCGGUACCAUAUAUGUGGUACCUUGCUCAAUAGUAGUACCUGUGAGAGGGAUCUUGGAGUCCUAGUGGAUAACCAUUUAGAUAUGAGCCAGCAGUGUGCAGCAGCUGCUAGAAAAGCCAACACAGUUCUGGGCUGCAUAAACAGAGGGAUAGAAUCAAGAUCAUGUGAAGUGUUAGUGCCACUUUAUAAUGCCUUGGUAAGGCCACACUUGGAAUAUUGCAUCCAGUUUUGGUCGCCAUGAUGUAAAAAAGAUGUUGAGACUCUAGAAAGAGUGCAGAGAAGAGCAACAAAAAUGAUUAGGGGACUGGAGGCUAAAACAUAUGAAGAACGGUUGCAGGAACUGGGUAUGUCUAGUUUAAUAAAAAGAAGGACUAGGGGAGACAUGAUAGCUGUGUUCCAAUAUCUCAGGGGUUGCCACAAAGAAGAGGGAGUCGGGCUGUUCUCCAAUGCACCUGAGGGUAGAACAAGAAGCAAUGGGUUGAAACUGAUCAAAGAAAGAAGCAACUUAGAACUAAGGAGAAAUUUCCUGACAGUUAGAACAAUUAAUAAGUGGAACGACUUGCCUGCAGAAGUUGUGAAUGCUCCAACACUGGAAAUUUUUAAGAAAAUGUUGGAUAACCAUCUGACUGAGAUGGUGUAGGGUUUCCUGCCUGGGCAGGGGGUUGGACUAGAAGGCCUCCAAGGUCCCUUCCAACUCUGUUGUUAUAUUAUAUUAUAUUAUAUUAUAUUAUAUUAUAUUAUAUUAUAUUAUAUUAUAUUAUAUUAUAUUAUAUUAUAUUAUAUACUAGAGAUGUAAAAUACUUGAUUGAAUAUCAUUGUGUUUGCUAAAAAUUGGAAAAACGAGAAAUUACCUUUGCAAGACGAAAUUAUUAGGAAGAUGAUGGAAUGUGCAGAGAUGAAUAAAUUGACAUUCAAAAUUGGAGAACAAGAAGAUAAGCAAUAUUACAAAAUAUGGGAUUUAUUUUAUUAUUAGUUAGAAGGAAAGAUGUUAGAAAAGACCUAGAUUGAAUAAGAGACUUAGAUAAUAUAAAAUAUAUAUACGAAAGAUAUGUCUAUUUUGAGAUUGCACAAGAAGAUAUGUAAACACCCCACCAGCACAUUGUAACUGGUUUGAUGGGUUUUUUAUGUUUGUUUGUUGUUAAAAAAUAAAAAAAAUAAAAAAAAUUUUUGCCUGCUUUGCUGGCUGAGGAACUUGGAAUUGAAAUCCACAAACCUUAAAGUUACUAAGGUUGGAGACCCCUGAUCUAAAAAAUAUAAAUAAAAUAAAAUAAUAAAAUAAAAUAUUUGUGCAGCUUUCUGAGAUUUGGUGUGUUUCUGUAGUGUUUCACUCUAACUGCACAAACACACAAAAUCUCACAAAGCUGUAUGUGGCAUUUUGUGUGUGUGUGUGUGUGUGUGAGUCAGUUGUGUUGUUUUGUGUGUGUGUAAAGUGUGAAAGUUGGUUUUUGAGCUUUUUGUGGCUGUGUGAGGUUCCUGCUUGUUGCAGGG